UUGACAACUUCAGGUUCUUCAAGCAGUACCUGUUGAGGCUGAUCACAUUGUGAGAUGUUCAUAGUUUCUUGUGUAUCUAUAGUCUUUGCUUCAUAUGUGGAGGUGGUGGUUCCUUCAUUACUAUCUGAGCUAUCAGGUUCAUCUUCGACGACAACCUCCUUAGUCUCGUCAUCAACAUAACCACUGAUAAUUGAUUCAGUUGAUGUUGUAGUCUCUCCAACUAGAUUAUCACCCUCCACUGUUGACGGUCCAGUUUGUCCUUCUAGGUUUUCAACUGUAUGUUCUCCAACUAGAUUAUCACCCACCACUGCAACUUCUUGACUACAAGAUUCCUCCUUGUCUUCUGGCAGAUCUUCAAUGUUUUCCUCUAACAACAUGGCGGGAUUUGCCGUGCUUCAGUUGUGGUGUCGAAACGGGCAACUGUUUCUGCAGAAUUUGUGGCUGUUUCAGUUCCACUGUCCUCCUGUGCUUCAUCACCUGUGCCAGAUUACUUGCUUUUAUUAGUCGAGCUUAUAGUGCUGAAGAUUUCAGGUCCUGAAGUCAUUGCUGAAGACAUGGAUUGAACCGACUUACAAAGAACGGAGAGAAGAGUUUCUUUCCACUUUUUCCUAUAAAUAACAUGUAUACGCGUGAUUCCGCAGAAACUUCGGACUUUUUUCUUCAGCGGAUAAAACCUCAACAUGUGGAGAGCUGCUGAUAACAAAAAAUUAGUGAAGCUAAAGCUGUAUCUAAUUCCACCGGUCAACCUUUCGGCGCAUCUUAACAUAUUCCAGUCCACUCGAGUGAAUCAUGCUCCUUGUCUCCCGGUUUUUCCUUCUUUUUUGAAGCGUCAUGUCAUGUGUUUUUUGGCUCUAAUGUUUGGAUCCAGUUGAGUUGGAGGGGGACACGAGCCUUUGGUCUGGUGUCAUGAUGGCCUACAGCUCCCUUUCUGCUGCUACCGGUUCUCCCACGGGCCCCUUCCUUGUGUGCUGUUUGUUCCCUUAAACACGGGGUGGGAGUGGUUUCCACCUCACGCUGGCCCUUAGAAAAUCCAUGUUUAUGAUUGGAAUCGCUGGCUGUGGAUUGUGCAGUUGUUGACUGGUUUUUGUGACUUCGAGGCUUAUAGCCCCUCUUUUCCA